CAAAACAGCAGCCUGUUUCCAAAGAGAUCAAGACCACCUCUGAAGAAAAUACUGAAGAUCAAAACCAUAGGGGCAGGAAUGCUUUGAAACAUUAAGAGAACUCAGCACCCUUUGCCCUGUUUUAGCCUUUGUGUUACUGAGAACACUGACAACUUUCAGGUUAUACUAAACAUUCAUAAAUAUUUCAGGGAUCUGGUGCAUGACACAGACAGGGACCAAAGGAACCAGGUUUGGUCCUGAGAGAAACACAAAACUGAAGGAGGGCUGAAUUACAGUCUUCUACUACCCGAAGUGGAGUUACAAAGACUAAGCAAGAUCAUUAAACAGUGCACAAAUGAGAACAAGAGAUUAGUCACGAGUCCGAGCAAGAGAAAAUCUGGUUGGACAUAAGAAAAUGUUCUCCAUAAUGAAAACAAUUAAGUAAAGGAACAGGAUAUUCAGGAAGGCUGUGAAAUCUUCAUUUUCGGGAACAUUAAAAAAAGAAAAAAAAAAAAAAAAAGGAAGACUGAAGAGAGGCUGAAAAUGACCCUGAGCAACCUGACCUCACUUGAAGCAAGAUAUUGGAUUCAUUGCUCUCCAGAUAUUCCUUCUCACCUAAAUUUUUUUAUGACUAUGUUCUUUCACUACUAGAGGCAUUCGUAGCUGAGGAAGUUCCAUUUUACUUGUGCUGGAAAAAGAGAAGAAUGACAAACGAUAAUUACCCAGGACACUGGCCACCUCAUAAACUUCGUUCAAGUGAAGAACUGUGGGUCCUGUGCAAAGAUGACACUUCAUGAUACAUGAAGAGAGCCGUAAGAUUUACUGCAGUGGGAUUAGAUCACUAGCAGGAAAGGAGCUCCAGAUUUUCAACAAGGAUCGUACCUGAAGGAUGGUGAAGCUAAUGCAGACAAAACAGGAGAUCCUUGUUCAUACGUGCUGGGCUCCUGCCGCCUUUGCUUGAUUUCCUGCACAAGUGGAUGGACUAUUUUUCAUGAUCUUUGAAACUCAGACAGCUCUCCUGAGCCAUUCCUAUAGCCAAGACUUUAUCCUAUGAAAGUCUGCCAAGCAGAUUCUCGCAACAGGCUAAAAUCUCCUCUUCCAAAGAGUGGAGGUGUUCCUUCUCUUAGGAUGUAGCACCCUACCAUUUUGUGGUCAAUUUGGCACCAUAUCUGCAGUAAAAUCACACCCCAAUUAUAGGUGGCAGCUACAAAAUCCCCCCUUCAAUAUUACAGUACUAUUGAAGUCCAGUACUCCUCAAAUUUCCAAACAUAAGUAGCAAAUUUUUAGACCACACUGUAAACGUAACCUAAUUAGUUGUUAAGUUCUCUGCAUAAUCAUUACCCAAGUUCUAUGUCAAUGUAAAGAAUUAAUGUUUGGAAUAAACUUUUUAAGCCUGCUCACAGCUAUCUUGUCUUUUGGUGUGAGAAGUCACACUAGAGAUGAAGCAGAAAAGCAGGAACAGCUGAUAAAACUUGAUUGCGUUGAUCUCCCAGGUGGGAUGGGAGGACAGAUUAGGAAUGAUUAGAAAGCACUGUGUUCUUCUUGCUUUGCACUCCAGUCCUCUUUUACUGAAACUGAGGAUUUUGUCCCUGGGUUUAUAUCAUACAAAGCUUGCUGAAGUAGAACCCCUGCAUACCAACAAGCAGAAUAACUACUUUAUUCCUGCAGUAGCACUUCUUGACAGGGCUUUUUGUGUUUCCUGCAGAAUCUGCCUGGCAGUUAAAAUAAGUAAUUGUCUAUGAACCAUUUCCUAUAUCCUUACAUUGAAAAAUCUCCCCGCGUUAAAAUGUUAUGCUCUUCAAUGUCAUGCUGACAGCUUCCUUGCUCUCACACACAUAUAUACAUUUUUUUAAAUAUGGAAAAUGCUGAAAUAGGAAAAUUGAGGUAGCUGUUUGGUGGCUAGAAGGGUCUUCAACUACAACAUUCUAUCCUAUUCUACUUAGUUGACAUUUUUAUUAAGCAACCUGGUAUAUAACAUCAUCCUUGAGAGCUAGCAGGAGGGAAAAAGGAACUAAAUUUGAUUUUACUUGAUAUACUAAAAGUACAUUUGCUUUGUGAUCAACAAAAGGUCAGGAACAUUUUGUUAUUGCGAGAAAUUGCAUCAAUUACAAUCUUUCCAAUCUCUUUCCGCAAAAGUAACAAGCACACAAGUUACCUGCAGCCUCCAGGCUGAGUUCAUUGUUUUAUCGCAGGUUUUUCCUUUAAGGGGAAAAAAAAAGUUACUAUUUGACAGACUGCACAAACAGCCAUACUUCUAAAGACAUCUGAAAGACAGCUUACCCUAAAGUGUAAUACUCAGUCAUGUAUAAAAGGUAUGUUCCUUGGGAGAACACCACUGACUUCCGCUCCUUUUCCUUCAUCAUUCAUGUUGAUCAAGAGAAAGCCAUAGCAUCGUAUUUCAUGAAAAGAUAUUUUACAAUACUGCCCGAUUAAUUAGAAAAUACGCCUGAUUGUUUGUUCCAAAACACUUCUGGUCCAAGAAAAGACUAUAAAACUAAGAUUGUUCUUUUUAAAUUGCUCACAGUAAACAGGAUUCAGCAACAAAUAAUGUUUUAUUAUCAAAUCAAAACUAUGUGCAAUGGAAUAUCACUAGGAAAAGGAUGUAAUAUAAGGCAAAUGAAUGCUUAUCAGGCAGUUUUGCAGGAGUAGGGUAAUACAUUAUUGUGGUUACACUCAGUUUCUCUUUCAGUCCUCAUGGUGUUAGCUGCU